CUAGCAACAAAACUCACAGCAGCACGUAAACAAGUCCACAAGUUGUGACAGAAAACUACAUCCAUCGGCUCUGGGAUUGAUCCAGCAACCUUUUGGUCCUUGUCCCAACGCUCCUACCCACCAGUGCUACGACAUCAGGGGGAAUUACUUGGUUUGAAAGAAGGAUGAAAGGAAGGCGAGACCUGGGAAACCUCACUGCUCUUUCACUCCUAGCUGGGGUCGCCAUCUGUUAAUGGUUACCUCAGUGGAAGCAAACAAUCUUCUCCAGUUGGAGCAGUUGGACGGUCAACCAUUGAAAAUACUGACUCCCCUACACUUCGGUGAAGCCCGAUAGACAAAGACCAUCGACUGUCCAAACCCCCAAGAGGUAUCCCAUCCUGUGGUCUGUGGUCUGAGUCAGAGGGGGAACCAGCUUGAGGACCUAGGGGUUCUUCCCAACAUCCAGAUGUGGAUCCACCUGAUGUCCUCCAUUACCAACCAUCCUCCAACUUUUCAUUACAUCAUCUACAGCUACUGUUGUUGUCAUUAUCUGCUAAGAACGUUUUCUUGCUCUAUCAUACUGGGCACAUAAUUAUGUGAGAUACACAGAUGAAUUAAAAACAUUAGCACUGCAAAGACUCAGAACAAAGAGAGCAGCAGUGCCUGGUCUCCCUCUUCAAGACCCCCUUCUAAG